UCUAUCUGUCUGAAAAGUUCCUGUUUAGGUGAGUCUGUCUGAUUUGAAGUGUGGUCAGAUAUUUGGAACAGAAAUGAGACAAACACACUUGGUAAGAGUUUGAUUUGUUUCCAGUGCAAAACAACACAUCACAUUAACUCUACAGGUUAUAGAGGACAAACUGAACACUUUUAAUACAGAGAGAUGAAAAAUCACUGUAAAUGGAGUGAAAUAAAGUCACUAGACAAACAAUAUUAACCCUUAAAGACCCAAACGUCCACCUUGAACCAAAACAACUACUG